rnacentral:rRNA from 1 species
UUAACGCUGAAGAAGCUUCGGCAGAUUCUUGUUAAACUUAGUGGCGGACGGGUGAGUAACGCGUGGGUAACCUGCCUCAUACAGGGGGAUAGCAGUUGGAAACGACUGAUAACACCGCAUAAGCGCACGGUAUCGCAUGAUACAGUGUGAAAAUAUUUAUAGGUAUGAGAUGGACCCGCGUCUGAUUAGCUAGUUGGUGAGGUAACGGCCCACCAAGGCGACGAUCAGUAGCCGGCCUGAGAGGGCGGACGGCCACAUUGGGACUGAGACACGGCCCAAACUCCUACGGGAGGCAGCAGUGGGGGAUAUUGCACAAUGGGCGAAAGCCUGAUGCAGCGACGCCGCGUGAGUGAAGAAGUAUUUCGGUAUGUAAAGCUCUAUCAGCAGGGAAGAAAGACCUCGUAAGAGGGGAUGACGGUACCUGAGUAAGAAGCCCCGGCUAACUACGUGCCAGCAGCCGCGGUAAUACGUAGGGGGCAAGCGUUAUCCGGAUUUACUGGGUGUAAAGGGAGCGUAGACGGUGUAUCAAGUCUGAAGUGAAACCCCACGGCUCAACCGUGGGCUUGCUUUGGAAACUGGUAGACUAGAGUACUGGAGAGGUAAGCGGAAUUCCUGGUGUAGUAGUGAAAUGCGUAGAUAUCAGGAAGAACAUCAGUGGCGAAGGCGGCUUACUGGACAGCAACUGACGUUGAGGCUCGAAGGCGUGGGGAGCAAAC